AUGGGCUCUGGGCUCUUCUUGGUGGUUUUGAGUCUCCUGUGUGCAAAACACAUGGAGGCUGCAGUCACCCAAAGCCCAAGAAACAAGGUGGCAGUAACAGGAGGAGAGGUGACAUUGAGCUGUCGCCAGACUAAUAACCACGACUACAUGUACUGGUAUCGACAGAACCUGGGGCAUGAACUGAGGCUGAUCCAUUACUCAUAUGAUGUUAACCGCACUGAGAAAGGAGAUGUCCCCAAUGGGUACAAGGUCUCAAGACCAAGCCAAGAGGACUUCUCUCUCAUUCUGGAGUCAGCUUCUCUCUCUCAGACAGCUGUGUACUUCUGUGCCAGCAGUUAUACACAGCAAUGCAUGGCCUCCUCCCCUCUGCACAUAAAGCAAAUAGGGAAAACUAGUUGCCUGUGUGCCCUAGGAAGUCCCUGCCUCUCUAAGAGUCACUGA